rnacentral:rRNA from 1 species
CAGUCGCCGCGGUAAUACGUAGGGGGCGAGCGUUGUCCGAAGUUACUGGGCGUAAAGAGCGCGUAGGCGGGUCUUUAAGUGAGGGGUGAAAGGUUCAGGGCUCAACCCGGACACUGCCUUUCAUACUGGAGACCUUGAGUGUGGGAGAGGCGAGUGGAAUGGUCGGUGUAGCGGUGAAGUGCGUAGAUAUCGAUCGGAACACCCAUGGCGAAGGCAGCUCGCUGGCCUAUAACUGACGCUGAGGCGCGAAAGCGUGGGGAGCAAACAGGAAUAGAUACCCCAGUAGUCCCUGUCUCUUAUA